rnacentral:tRNA from 13 species
UUCAGGAUGGCCGGGUUGUCGGGCUGGUUCGACUCCCCCUCCCUC